rnacentral:rRNA from 1 species
GACGAACGCUGGCGGCGUGCCUAAUACAUGCAAGUCGAGCGCAGGAAACUGACGGAACUCUUCGGAGGGAAGGCAGUGGAAUGAGCGGCGGACGGGUGAGUAACACGUAAGGAACCUGCCUCAAGGAUUGGGAUAACUCCGAGAAAUCGGAGCUAAUACCGGAUAGUUCAACGGACCGCAUGGUCCGCUGAUGAAAGGCGCUUCGGCGUCACCUUGAGAUGGCCUUGCGGUGCAUUAGCUAGUUGGUGGGGUAACGGCCCACCAAGGCGACGAUGCAUAGCCGACCUGAGAGGGUGAUCGGCCACACUGGGACUGAGACACGGCCCAGACUCCUACGGGAGGCAGCAGUAGGGAAUCUUCCACAAUGGACGAAAGUCUGAUGGAGCAACGCCGCGUGAGUGAUGAAGGUUUUCGGAUCGUAAAACUCUGUUGUAAGGGAAGAACACGUACGAGAGGAAAUGCUCGUACCUUGACGGUACCUUACGAGAAGGCCACGGCUAACUACGUGCCAGCAGCCGCCGUAAAAC